CGUACGGCUCAGUAACACGUAGUCAACCUGCCCUGGAGACAUGGACAACCCCGGGAAACUGGGAUUAAUCCGUGAUGGGUCAUCUCAUCUGGAAGGAGAGAUGGCUUAAAGGGGUACGCGGGCUUCUUCUGCGUAUUCGCUCCAGGAUGGGACUGCGUCCGAUCAGGCUGUUGGCGGGGUAAUGGCCCACCAAACCUGUAACCGGUACGGGCCUUGAGAGAGGUGGCCCGGAGAUGGACACUGAGAGAAGGGUCCAGGUCCUACGGGGCGCAGCAGGCGCGAAACCUUCGCAAUGCGCGAAAGCGUGACGAGGUUAAUCCGAGUGACUUCCGCUGAGGAGGUCUUUUGUCAGCUGUAAAUAGGCAGGCGAAUAAGGGGAGGGCAAGCCUGGUGUCAGCCGCCGCGGUAAUACCAGCUCCUCGAGUGGUCGGGGCGAUUAUUGGGCCUAAAGCAUCCGUAGCCGGUUCCGUAGGUCCUCUGUUAAAUCCAACCGCUUAACGGUUGACCUGCAGAGGAUACCGCGGGACUAGGAGGCGGGAGAGGCGGACGGUACUCCGCGUGUAGGGGUAAAAUCCUUUGAUCCGCGGAAGACCACCAGUGGCGAAGGCGGUCCGCCAGAACGCGCUCGACGGUGAGGGAUGAAAGCUGGGGGAGCGAACC
rnacentral:rRNA from 1 species